UCGCCAGCUAAAGCAAUCGCGGGCCAUGAACCACCACCGAAGCCCUCCGGACGGCGGCGGCACAAGGAAGCCGGAUAUGUUCCCGUUGCCUCACCGGCAGGUGCCCUCCCCGCUUGGCCUGAUGCGAUACGGGUCGGCGCCGGGGACCUUCCUCUCCGGCGUCGCCGAUUCGGUCAUCGGGGGAGAAGCGGAAGCGGGCUUCACGAGGAGGCUGUUCCCGGGCGAGUCCCCGUCUCCGGCGUCGGAGUCGAGCUGUAAGUCGGCCGCCUCCACCGCGGCCCCUUCGUCGCGGGACCUCGAGCACUGCUGGGGCCGAAAGGCGCCGCCGUCCAUGGUCGCCGAUCCGUCGUCGAGCUGCCCCAAGGGCGGCGACGGUAAUCUCCUGCUGAGGCACAGCAGUUCCCCCGCCGACUUCUUCUCCCAUCUCAUGCUCGACAACGGUUUUUCGGCACUAAGGGAUAUCAGGAGCUUCUCCCGACCUGGAAUAGGAGGUGUCAAUGAAAUGGCAAGCAGAAGACUGAAAUCACAGCUUAGCUUCUCUGGAACAGGCCAACCAUCUCAAAUUUCUCAAAUCGGCAUUCCAGAGAUAGGAGACAGUGUAGGUUGCAGCAACAAUUCUGAUGUUAGAUCAGGAAGUGUCAGCCAAUCUUACAGCAACUUUUCAAUUGGUUCAUGGGAUGAUACCAAUUCAAUCAUUUUUUCUGCACCUUCAAGCAAACGGGCCAAGGAUAACAAUGGGGAUAUUAUAACCAUGAGCAAUAUUGAGUCUCAGUGUAGCUUACCAAGUACAACUCUUGAGAUGGAUACAAUGGAUAAGUAUCUACAGUUCCAGCAUGACCAGGUUCCAUUCAAAGUCCGAGCUAAGCGUGGUUGUGCCACACAUCCCAGGAGUAUUGCCGAAAGGAUCUCCCGCUGGUUGGGGUCUUUAAGAGGGAUGCUAUACUGUGUGCAGCCUUACCCUUGCUGGUGGAGAGGAAAGGAGAACAAGAAUUAGUGAGAAAUUGAAAAGCCUACAAGAUCUCGUGCCAAACAUGGACAAGCAAACAAGCACUGCAGACAUGUUGGACUUGGCUAUCAAGCACAUCAAAGAGUUGCAGAGCCAACUUCAGAUGGAAAGCCUGUUACAAGUGACUUGAUAUGGUCAAUUCAGUUCACAUGGACGAACAACGUAUGCUUCUACUAUUUUCAUUGAGCAAGCAGUAGCAUAAAUUUUCUCCCUCAUUCCAUAAUUAACAAUGUAUUUUUAUAAUCUUUUUAUAUAAGUAGAACUAGGCUAUUUAUUUGAACAGAAUACAUUAUGAAUAAGUCAAAUUAAGAGUGAAACUUAAUAGUGUUUUGUUAUACCAUGUCAAAAUAGAGACCGAUAAAUAUUAUGACAAUCUGGCUAGUUAUGUUGUUUCAUCGAAUAGCAUCUUGUUCUUCCAAAUAUUCUUGUGCUGGUCAGAUUAUGGUGAACUGUGCUUACUUGGGGAUCGAAAUUUAAUUUAAAUCAGAAAAUUCAUCUCUUGCUAUGCUGCAGAACAAUGGUUGUUAGAAUGCAGCUAUUCACUAUGAUUCUUCUGAUUGGUGAUGUGCUUGAAAAGAAUGGUAGAAGAUCAUUCUUUUGGCACUGUCAUUGGAGCACCAUUUGUCCAUUUAAUGCUGCUAAUGUUAAUGCAUCAACUUGAUUGAUUGAUGUUUUACAUGCACACAGGCAUGUGAAUAAGAUGCAAAUGUAUAUCGAAGUCUCAAAGUUAGAACAAGAAGAAAGAUAACAUGUUAA